rnacentral:rRNA from 1 species
UAAGGAAUAUUGCGCAAUGGGGGAAACCCUGACGCAGCAACGCCGCGUGGAGGAUGACACUUUUCGGAGCGUAAACUCCUUUUAUCAGGAAAGAAUAAUGACGGUACCUGAUGAAUAAGCACCGGCUAACUCCGUGCCAGCAGCCGCGGUAAUACGGGGGGUGCAAGCGUUACUCGGAAUCACUGGGCGUAAAGGACGCGUAGGCGGAUUAUCAAGUCUUUUGUGAAAUCUAGUGGCUUAACCACUAAACUGCUUAGGAAACUGAUAGUCUAGAGUAGGGGAGAGGUAGAUAGAAUUCUUGGUGUAGGGGUAAAAUCCGUAGAGAUCAAGAAGAAUACCCAUUGCGAAAGCGAUCUGCUGGAACCUAACUGAAGCUGAGGCGUGAAAGCGUGGGUAGCAAACAGGA